rnacentral:lncRNA from 1 species
AGAGUUUAAAUGAGUGUUAGUUCUUUUUGUCUUUUGAAAUUUUAAGUCAAGUAUGGUUAAGUUCAUUUACAAGUUUGAUUAAGAAAGAGAAGUUUAAAAAUGCAAUGGCAUAAGGCUAAAGUUUCUAAUUUGCAAUAAGGUUUAAGUUUGAAACUCACAAGCAAAGAAGAUUUUGAAAGAGGGGAGAGAUUUGAAAUUUAAGAAGUGGGAGGAGAUGAAGAGACUAAUCGUAAGCAAAAAUUUAAAAGUUAAGAGUUGAAAAGAUCUGAC